rnacentral:lncRNA from 1 species
UUUUUUUUUUUUUUUUUUUUUUUCUUUUUACAGCUGCACUUGUGGCAUAUGGAAGUUCCCAGGCCCGGGGUUGAAUCACAGCUGCGGCUGCCGGCCUAUGCCCCAGUCACAGCAAUGUGAGAUCUGAGCCAUGUCUGUGACCUUCACCACAGCUCAUGGCAAUGCUGGAGCCUUAUCCCACUAAGCAAGGCCAGGGAUCGAACCUGCAACCUCAUGGUUCCUAGUCAGAUUCAUUAACCACUGACCCACGACGGGAACUCCUAGCCUGCUUGUUUUAAUCAAAAAUCUGUCUUCCAAUAUUUAGGGGCUCUCACAGAAAACCCAAGAUGGUCAGUUCCUGAAUAGAUGCCAUGUAAACACCAGAUAAAACUUCUGAAGAUUAAGGAAAUCCUCAACUCCUAAGUAUCCCCAGAUUUUAAGUGCCACAGGCAGAUGGGGAGUGGGGCAGGGGAGGGUGGGGAAGAAUACUCUUUUUUUUUUUUUUAGCACCCGUCUUGUGGCAUAUGGAGGUUCCCAGGCUAAGGGGUCGAAUCAGACCUGCAGCUGCCAGCCUACACCAUGGGCAGAGCAAGACCAGAUCCGAGCCACAUCUGUGAUCUAAACCACAGCUCACAACAACGGCAGAUCUCCGACCCACGAGACGAGACUGGGUAUUGAACCUGCAUCCUCAUGGAUACUAGUCAGAUUUAUUUCCCCUUAACCACAACGGGAACUCCCAAGAAUACUCUUUUAUUUCUAGAGAAAUUGAGGUACAAAAGAGGGCCACACUUCAUUCUUCUGAGUUGUGGAAGCAGCCAAAUCCUGUGGAAGGUGCAAGAUUUAGUGGCCCACACUCAGGGCUGUGCUUCGUGCCAGGCAUUCUGUUAAGAACUUUUAAGUAUUAUCUUCUUUGAUUUGUGAGGUGAUGGCUAUUAUCUCCACUUUAUAUAUAGAUGAAGAAAUGGAGGCUUAGAGAGUUUAAAUAAAUGGCCUCAGACUACGCAACUAGUGAGUGGCUAAGUCUAGAUGCCCCCAGCCACUGCACAGCACUGCCUGGCCCACUUCCCCAGAUCAAAGUCACCUUGGUCUACUAUUUCUGGCACUAAAUCCCCACGUGCUACCCUCUGGUUCUUUCUGGAAGCUGGCUCAAGCCCUUGCUGAAUGGUUGAGUAUUGCUACCAUGUACUAGAGAACGCUGAGGCGUGGCAACUUUUUGGAGUCCCUUGCAGACUAUUUUAGCAAUGAUCACUCACUUCUCCACGCUGUUCAGAUGACCUACCCUGGCUUAUGUGUCCACCACCCUGGUCACACGCACGUGCCUCCCUGGGAACGGCAGGCACUUGGCACCUCUUGCCGCCCAGGCCCCAGCCAAGCUCUUUGGAGUCAGGCCUCUUUAAGAGAGGAAUGUGGUAGCAGUUACUUUACAGGCAGCUCAGCCUGAUUAUGGGGUGAGGCACUUACGUGCUGUCCAGUUGGGAGCUUCUGGGUAGCCCAUUUACAGUGCUCAGAACUGGGGGUACCCUUGUCUCGGGUGCUUUGAGGUGAUAACACUUGCCGCGCUCAUUAACAGAUAGGCGGAGCAUGCUAUCAAACUGUGGCACCUUGGAAAACCUGCAGAAACCCUCCUCUGGUUCCACACAUAGGGGUUUCCCUUCUUCUGAAAAUAGAUAUGCAUUGUGUUAAAGAGGGACCCUAAAAAUAGAGUGGAGCUGAAUGGAAGAACUAAAGGACUAAACACAGACAUUUCCCUUCUGAUGUAUUUGCUGCUUGUUUGUUCUGGGAAAGUCAUCCUACCCAGCUUUCCUAUCCUGUCUGUGUCUGUGAUGAUUUGGGGGGAAGGUGCUUGGAGAUUCUCAACAGGAAAUGUGGGUCUGAUGCUGGCUAGAUCCUCAGUGCAUUUGUGUUCUGAAAUCUCAGGGCUGUGAGAUUAACUGUGACCCUAAAGGGCCUCUUGGCCUCCCAACCUAGAUCAUCUUUCUUUCCUGUUGCCUUUCUUGAUGUUCCUGUUGCCUGGUGUUGAGCUGGAUGUGGAAGACUCUGUCCCAGAUGAUUUAAAAACUGUUUAUAGGCACCCUGCUCCUUUGAUCUCCCCAUUCCUCCCGCCAGUGGGCUUGGGUCAGCCAGGGAUGUGAUCACAGUGGUUAAGGGCAUAGGUUCUGAGCCUGAAAGCCUGGGUUUGAAUCCUGGCUCCAUCACUUACUGGCUGAUGGAUAAGGACAAAUCACUGAACUCUCUGAUAAACCUCAGUCUCCUCACCUAUAAAAUGGGGAUAAUAAGAGUUAUAAAUAAAUGGGUCUUAAUUAAACUUGAAAAACCUUUGCACAAUAAAGGAAACCGUUGACAAAAUGAAAAGGCAACCUACGGAAUAGGAGAAAGUUUUUGCAAAUGAUAUGACUGGUGAGGGCAUAUCCAACAUAUGUAAACAGCUCACAGUACUCAACAUAAAACAACAACAACAACAACACAGCAACAACAAAAAAACCCUCAGGAGUUCCUGUUGUUGCUCAGUGGGUUAAAAACCUAACUAGUAUGCACGAGGAUGCAGGUUCAAUCCCUGGCCUUACUCAGUGGGUUAAGGAUCUGGCGUUGUCAUGAGCUGUGGUAUUGGUUGUAGAUGUGGUUCAGAUCCCUCAUUGCUGUGGCUAUGGCAUAGGCCAACACCACAGCCACAGCAAUGCCAGAUCUGAGCCACAUCUGUAACCCACCAUGGCCCCCGGCAGCGCUGGAUCCUUAACCCACCAAGUGAGGCCAGGGAUCGAACCUACGUCCUCAUGGAUGCUAGUUAUGAGGUUUGUUUCCACUGAGCCACAAUGGGAACACCUCAGGUUUUUAAGUUAGCAGUGAAAAAAAGGAUUGAGAUAGCAGCAAAGUGUAGAAGCCUGGUAAUGUUUCUUCCCUAGAGGGAGGUGGUCGCUAGCCUAAUGGUUAGCGCAUAGAUAGCCUCCAGAGCAAGGAGCCUGGUGUGUUCCCACUGAACUCUCACACGUGGGAAGGAAUGAUAGAUAACAGGCUCUGUGGGUCACGGCUCUCCGGAUGAUGUGUAUGAAUAGGUGUCCUCCUUCAGGUCACAAGGAGGCUUCCUGGAAUAGCUUCAGAGUUCUUUGGGGGAGCUGAUCCCCUUCAAGAGUAAUAUGCCUUAUAAGGCCUGGGGUUGCAUCUCAAACAAUUUCAGGCUUAUGUACAUGGCCAUACAUUUGAGGCCAUCCAUAUUAACCUUGUAACUUUCAAGGCUUUUUUUUUUCUUAGUAUUUAUAAAAGGUAUUUUGAGAUCUUUAAGCCAUGAGUUUAAACAAAUGCCACAGGAAAUCUCACCUCUUCUGGCUCUCAUUCCAUAUGCAGGAAAGGCUCAAAUAUGCAUAUUAGCCAUGUAGGGUAUUCUCAAUGGCCAGAUAGGCCAUUGUCUUGGAGAGAUCCUAAGGUGGAAAUCCCUCCUUCCCUGCCUCCUUCCUUUCCUUCUCCUCCUCCUUCUUCUUUCUUUCUCUCUCUCUUUCUCUCUCUCUCUCUCUCUCUCAUGAGAAGGAAGAAGUUUUUUUCUGGAUGGGUGUACCAUCUGGGAACAGAGUGUGAACCAAACUCUCAGAAAACCUGAGUUCAAGGCUUGGCUUUGCCACCCAAGUACUGGGAAAGGAACUUGACCUUUUAAUUUAACUGAAACUGGUAUUAAUGGUACUUUCCCCACUUCCAUCCAGCCUCCCAAGGUUGUUAGAAGGAUCAAAAAGAAAUUGCAUGAGAAAAUUUUCUGAUAAAAUAUUGUUUACCUGGACAAGAAAAUCACCACUUCCUGUCAUCAGCACUCAACUCAAAUGCCAUCUCUUCCAUGAAGACUUCUCUGGUUUCUCCAGCAUUUGAUAUUCUCUCCUGACUCUGAAAUCCUGUGAUAUUUUGCUUAUGCCUCUCUCUUGACACUUAAUUUUAUCCUGUUGUAUCAUUACUUAUAUCCAUGUCUUAGGCAACCGGAAGGCAGAAUCCAUGCCUAUACCAUAAUUAUGUCCUCAUUAUAGUACACUGAACUAAUUAUUCUACAUCACUCUUAUCAGAGAAGUUCAUAACAGUGCACCUACACAUGGUAGGUACUCAAUAAAUAUUUGUUUUAGGUUUUUUUUGUGCUUUAUUUUUUUUUAUUACUCAAUGAAUUUAUCACACCUGUAGUUGUACAAUGAUGUUUUUAGUAUUUUUGCUUAUGCUAUGUUUUUAGUUGCAGUUUUGUUUUUAGAUUUAUUGUAUAAUUUAAAUACAGUAAAAUUUAUUCUUUUCAGUGAACAUUUCUAUAGAUUUUAACAAAUACAUAUGUAGUUAUAUAACUGCCACCACAAUCAACCUCCAGAAUUCCCUCAUUCCCCUUGAUUGUCAGCCUCUUUCCCCAGCCCUAACCCCUGGCAACCAGGGAUUUGUUUUCUGUCCUUAUAAUUUUGCCUUUUCCAGAAUUUCAUAUAAAUUGAAUCAUGCAGUAUGCAACCUUUCAAAUCCAGCUUCUUUCACCUAACAUAAUGCAUCUGUAAUUCAUUCAUGUUAUGUUUAGUUUAUCUAUUCUUUUUUAUGACUGAGUAGUAUUUCAUUAUUUGGUUAUACCACAGUUGGUUUAUCCAUUUACCAGUUAAUGAACACUUAGGUUGUUUCCAGU